ACAGCAUGGUGGGGGCAUUUUCUAAUCAGUUCCUUUAAUCUCUCCCAAGUCUCAUGAAACAUCUCCCCAUCCAAUUGAGAAAAACUAAUUAUGGCCUUUCUAAUUUC